CCUACGGGAGGCAGCAGUGGGGAAUUUUGGACAAUGGGCGAAAGCCUGAUCCAGCCAUGCCGCGUGCAGGAUGAAGGCCUUCGGGUUGUAAACUGCUUCUGUACGGAACGAAAAGACUCUGGUUAAUACCUGGGGUCCAUGACGGUACCGUAAGAAUAAGCACCGGCUAACUACGUGCCAGCAGCCGCGGUAAUACGUAGGGUGCAAGCGUUAAUCGGAAUUACUGGGCGUAAAGCGUGCGCAGGCGGUUAUAUAAGACAGAUGUGAAAUCCCCGGGCUCAACCUGGGAACUGCAUUUGUGACUGUAUAGCUAGAGUACGGCAGAGGGGGAUGGAAUUCCGCGUGUAGCAGUGAAAUGCGUAGAUAUGCGGAGGAACACCGAUGGCGAAGGCAAUCCCCUGGGCCUGUACUGACGCUCAUGCACGAAAGCGUGGGGAGCAAACAGGAUUAGAUACCCUGGUAGUCCACGCCCUAAACGAUGUCAACUGGUUGUUGGGUCUUCACUGACUCAGUAACGAAGCUAACGCGUGAAGUUGACCGCCUGGGGAGUACGGCCGCAAGGUUGAAACUCAAAUGAAUUGACGG
rnacentral:rRNA from 1 species